ensembl:lncRNA
UCUGGACUUGAGGUCAAGGUCCGUGAGCUGCAGGCGCCACUGGGCGGGCAAAACGCACCCGGCCAGUUGAUUCCUGCUCGGCCCAAGGCAAUUCUCUGGGCGGCUGCACAGCAGCCACUCCCAGCAGCAAGGGCACGCUGCACUGGCGAGCAGGGGGGUCUGGGCUGCGCUUGGGCAGCCUUCACCUUCUGCCUGUCUCACAGGGUCCUCCCAGUUCCCUGUGGAGCCUUCCCAAGGGAACAGGGCCGGUCUGACCUUCCAGUCUGCAGGGGCCUGGGCUCCCGAGGCCCCUGUGAGCAUUCCCGACGGUCAGAAGAUGCUCUUCUCAGACUGGGGCUGUGGGAAGAGCCUACCCACCCUCCUGUUCCGGACCACAUCUUGGGCUCACCUCCAGGACUCCGCAGCAUGCUGGCCAGUCACCAUCCUCGUCCAGAUUCCCAGCGACGCGCUGAGCUUCUUGGGGCCAGGCCUGCCCCUCAUUCCUCUCCAAAUGCCAUCUUUGAACCCGGCACGGGGCCUGCCACCAGGAAGUACCCAACACGCAGUAACCCACAAACAACCCUGAAAGAAAUGAAUGAAUGGCCAAGCCUACGAGCCCUUUUCCUUCUGCCGGGCUGUCCCUGUGGGACUGGCCUCUGCAGAGCAAAGGAAGCCUUCACGGGCUCAGGCUGCAGCAAGCAUUCUGAGAUGACUGUGCUCACCCUCUAGGGGCCCACGGGAAUCGGGGCGGGGGAGCCCUGAUCAAGGCGAUAUCCAGCCUGACCCUAGAGCUUUGGAAGGAAAGGGAGAGAAAUCUUAUCCUGGGGAUGGCCAAUUCUGUGGACAUGUUUGACACCCCCUCCCCCAGCUGUCACCACACCUCCCUGCUCUCUAGAGUAUCUUAGGGUUAACUUUUGAAAACACCAGCUCUCUUAAUGAUGACUUUCCUAAGCUUUCCUUAUUGACAUCUGAGCUUUGCAGAAGUGCUUUUUAAAGAGAUUUAAAAAAAUUUUUUUAAUGUUUAUUUAUUUAUUUAUUUAAAAAAAAUUUUUUUUCAACGUUUAUUUAUUUUUGGGACAGAGAGAGACAGAGCAUGAACGGGGGAGGGGCAGAGAGAGAGGGAGACACAGAAUCGGAAACAGGCUCCAGGCUCUGAGCCAUCAGCCCAGAGCCUGACGCGGGGCUCAAACUCACAGACCGCGAGAUCGUGACCUGGCUGAAGUCGGAUGCUUAAUCGACUGUGCCACCCAGGCGCCCCAAAUGUUUAUUUAUUUUUGAGAGAGAGAGAGAGAGAGAGUGUGAGUGGGGAGGGGCAGAGAGAGAGGGAGACACAGAAUCUGAAGCAGGCUCCAGGCUCUGAGCUGUCAGCACAGAGCCUGACACGGGGCUCGAACUCACGGACCGCGAGAUCAUGACCUGAGCCGAAGUCGGUCGCCUAAUCGACUGAGCCACCCAGGCACCCCUAAAGAGAUUUUUUGUUGUUCAGUGGUUUUUUAAAGGUAUUUUUGUCCCUGUCAGUGCAUCUAGAGAGUUUUUGACAAGACUUUGCAAGAAUAAAAUUGUUUUGGAAAGAAAGGAGUGGGGAGGA